rnacentral:ncRNA from 18 species
AUGAAAGCAAGGGGAGAGACUGCAAGGAUGCAGCGCCGAAGGAGCAAACACAAUUAGGGUGUGAAUCUCUCAGGCAAAAAGACUCUUGCUCGACG